UCUUAUUAAAAUUUUAUUUCAUCAAUAGUUCAGUCAACAAUGUUUAUAUUUAUUGCUAUUGCUUUGAAGUAAACAAUUUUUUUAUUAAACUUCAGCUUUAUGCAUGUUUUUAAUGUUGUGAGAGUCUGGUUCACUUGUGUCUAUCGAAUAUUUUUCCUAUUGUGGAAACUUAGUAGUAUUAUUAAUUUUUUAAUUAUUUCGUUCACUAAAAUGAAAAUUCUUUGCUUUCGUUAAACUAGAGGUGAAGAUCUUUUCCCCAUGGAUUCUUCGAACAUUGAUAGUACUUCUCAAAAUG
rnacentral:lncRNA from 1 species